rnacentral:rRNA from 1 species
UACAGAGGGUGCGAGCGUUACUCGGAAUUACUGGGCGUAAAGCGCGCGUAGGCGGCUUGUUAAGUCAAAUGUGAAAUCCCCGAGCUUAACUUGGGCAUUGCAUUCGAUACUGGCAAGCUAGAGUAUGGGAGAGGAAGGUAGAAUUCCAGGUGUAGCGGUGAAAUGCGUAGAGAUCUGGAGGAAUACCGACGGCGAAGGCAGCCUUCUGGCCUAAUACUGACGCUGAGGUGCGAAAGCAUGGGGAGCAAACAGG